UAAGGAAUAUUGGUCAAUGGACGCAAGUCUGAACCAGCCAUGCCGCGUGACGGAUGAAGGUCCUCUGGAUUGUAAACUUCUUUUAUCUGGGACGAAAACGGGCUUUUUAUCUCAAUUGACGGUACCAGAGGAAUAAGCACCGGCUAACUCCGUGCCAGCAGCCGCGGUAAUACGGAGGGUGCGAGCGUUACCCGGAUUUACUGGGUCUAAAGGGUGCGUAGGUGGGCUUAUAAGUCAGUGGUGAAAUCUCCGAGCUUAACUUGGAAACUGCCGUUAAUUCUAUAGGUCUUGAAUUAUCUGGAUGUUAGCGGAAUAUGUCAUGUGGCGGUGAAAUGCUUAGAUAUGACAUAGAACACCAAUUGCUAAGUCAGCUUACUACAUAUAAAUUGACGCU
rnacentral:rRNA from 1 species